rnacentral:rRNA from 1 species
GGGCCCGCACAAGCGGUGGAGCAUGUGGUUUAAUUCGAUGCAACGCGAAGAACCUUACCAGGGUUUGACAUGAUACGAAUUUCUUUGAAAGAAGAAAGUGCCGUUUGGAACGUAUACACAGGUGGUGCAUGGCUGUCGUCAGCCCGUGUCGUGAGAUGUUGGGUUAAGUCCCGCAACGAGCGCAACCCUUGUUUUAGUUGCCUUUUAUGGAACUCUAAAAGACUGCCGGUUAUAAACCGGAGGAAGGUGGGGAUGACGUCAAGUCAGCAUGCCCCUUACACCCUGGGCUACACACGUGCUACAUUGGGCGAGACAAUGAGAUGCAAAUCUGUGAAGACUAGCU